rnacentral:rRNA from 1 species
GACGAACGCUGGCGGCGUGCUUAACACAUGCAAGUCGAACGAUGAAGCGGGUGCUUGCCCUCGUGGAUUAGUGGCGAACGGGCGAGUAACACGUGAGUAACCUGUCCUUUUCUUUGGGAUAACGGCUGGAAACGGCUGCUAAUACUGGAUAUUCAGGCUGCAUCGCAUGGUGUGGUUUGGAAAGGUUUUUUCUGGGAUUGGGUGGGCUCGCGGCCUAUCAGCUUGUUGGUGGGGUGAUGGCUUACCAAGGCUUUGACGGGUAGCCGGCCUGAGAGGGUGGUCGGUCGCACUGGGACUGAGAUACGGCCCAGACUCCUACGGGAGGCAGCAGUGGGGAAGAUUGCACAAUGGACGAAAGUUUGAUGCAGCGACGCCGCGUGGAGGGUGUAGGCCUUCGGGUUGUGAACUCCUUUUUCUCGCGAAAAAGGCACAGUUUUGGCUGUGUUGAUGGUAGUGGGGGAAGAAGCGCCGGCUAACUACGUG